rnacentral:lncRNA from 1 species
AGGUAUGCACCUGGCAUACCUUUGUUUGGGUGGUUGUAAAGCACACACCACACACCACCCAACAGCUGCCAGUUUCAGCGUUGCACUUUUUGCACUGAGCCCCCGGAGCAAAGCACACCCCUGUCUGUGCAUGCUGCCUGCAACCUGCAGCAGCCCACAAUGCAUGUGCAAACAGCAGUCAGAGAAGUACACAAGGGCAGGCUGGUUGCAGAGGCAGUGUAUGAAAUGACUUUACUACAUGUCUUAUCCUUACGAGGCAUAGUAUGUCAAUGACAAGCAGCAUGCCACAAGAAUACUAAAAGUUUAUGCUACACCUGAACCACCAAGCCUGCCUAAAUGUGUUGCAGCACGGGGUCCCACGCCCAAGGAUUGGCUAGCCGCUUGCAGUGCUGCGGAGGAUGGGAAUAUGUGCCUUAGGGUAACAAGGACUCAUGUGUGGAAUGUUGUUGUGGCUGAGUUGUCAACAUGGCAAAGCUGGGGACAAGGUGUGGUGGUGCCAUGGGCAUGGUGUUGGCAUGCUUCCCAGCCCCUCACAGCCCUUGCCACACCCACUGCCCUGGGCUUGCAAGGGUGAUGUUCAUAUCACUGUUACCCAUCAUCACACCCCUUGCUCUAUCCUGGGCUGAGCCCAUUUUCCAGCUGAUAUCAAACUGAUACCCCUUGUUUGUUGCAACUCUUGGGCAUCUGCAUGAUUGUCACUUGAUAACUCAAUUUUACAAAAUUGAAUGUGUGACUCUCCUCACACAGGUGGCUCCUGGUGGGCUCAUCUAUGUUGAUGAUUAUGGCUCCUUCAAUGGUUGCAAGGUUGCUGUGGACAAGUACAGGAGCAUGCACAGAAUCGCAGCACCACUGCACUGGAUUCGUGAGCCUGGUAACUAUGUUGAGGCUGUGUGGUGGCGCAAGGACUAUGAAAUACAGUAUAUGCAGGAUUAAAAGGUACCUCUGCAUUAUUGGAAGGAGCCCUUAAAUGUCAGUGUAUGCCGUGAUGUAUGCAGCUUUCCGGCAAAUGAACUUCGUUCAUUUGUGUGUGCUGCUCUCGGAUGGUAGAAGGGCAGCGGGAUGCAUGAUGAGGGGCAGGAGGCAAACGUCACAGCAGGGGCAAGCAGGGUGUGUGUGACUGUUUGACUGUCGACCGCGGUGACGGGGAACAAGCUCUGAAGGUUGCCAUAGCGCGGGAUAGCUGUCAGGCGACUCUGCUGCAGGGUCAUGUUGGUGUUUGCCGAGCGCUUGCAAGCCAUGGCUAGACAUUCCCGCAUGCUGUUUGAUACUUUUAAAAUGUAUUGUAUGCAACAUGUUUACAUGAAAUGUUUGGACUGUGCCAUGAACGCGGCGGAUGCAGGUGCAGGUGUUUGGGGCUGCAUGUGUGCGUGCUGGUGCAGGUGCAGGUGCUGUAACAAGCAGAGACUCGACAUGCACCUUUUGUGCCUUUGGGGUUAUGACAGCUCCCAGGGUCCUUUACUGUACAGAUAACACAGCACAACAUUGCUCACCCGAGCUUGCAAUAUGGAUAUAAAUAACUGCCACUCGAAUCCACCUGUACAGUGGUGAGCCUAUUUUUGGGCUGAGCCCCCUGAGUGAAGCGAUCCAGGGGGGGCAAUCCAGGCAUCCUGCUCGGUAUCAGGCGGUUUUCGGGCUGUUAGCUCCUGUAGCUGUAGCUGGGCUUGCGGUGUUGGGCUGGCAUGCGAUGAUAUAGCUGGGCCAUAAGUGGUUGACUUUUUUUUGAUUGGUCCCCCCCCCCCAGGAUUGCACCUGUCCGUGCCUGCCUGCCUGCCUGCCUACGUCGACAAAAAGCGCCAAACUGGCACAAACCGCGAGCACCAUGUAUUAAAUGAAAAAUAGGCAGCAGGGAAAACUUGGCCGUAGCAAGAAGCGACCUCGCGAGUCCAUACUUUCUUCAGUCCACGAGUAAGUGCGAGUACAGCUCUCGGGCCCUGAAUAUCUUACAUCCAUGUACCGUACGUUUAGCUUUUGUUGUUGGUUACAAGGUGGUGUGCACGAGCAUGCGUGCUAUCCUGUCCCUGUACCAGUGGCCCGGGCCGGUGGGCCCUUAUAACGCCGGGAAACUUACUUUGUGCAACGAAGUUAGGCAUGUUCGACUGUACUACUCAAUGCCAACUACGUCAACUGCUAGCCCGUCAGCCUAGGUGAUUAGGUGCCUUGGCACCGAAUGCCCGCCCCUCCCUUCCAUGGGGGCUUCAGCCCUGCUGCUCAAAACCCUUCGAAAGCUCCAAGUUGCUCCUUGCGCAGUGCACACCCUACGGACGUCAGGUAAGGCGCCACCACCACACCUGUGCUGCGGACCAGGCGUGCGGCCCUGAUCAAUGCGCUGCGUUCCUGGGGCGUCACCAUCACCACGACGUUCCACACCUCCUGCCCUGCCGAUUGCCACGCACGGACAUAGCGUCCGCUCACCGAUGUUUAGCUGAUCACCACGCACCCCUGCAAACAAGGGGUGUCAGCUUUGUACAGCUGGAAAAAGGGCUGAGCCCCGGCGGAAGUAACGGGAUGUGCGGGCACGCAUGGUGGCCGCGUGUGAACCCUGCACAAAGCGGGGAACCGGGGGGAGGGGCCAUGGGCCGCGUUGCACCGCGUGAACUUCUCAUUUUGCAGCGCAUUCUCGCUUGCUUGUGCACAUUUGCAAUUUUAAUUCAUAUGCCAAUUCGAUGUGUCACUGCUUAGUCGCAGCCGAGAGUCCCGGGGACCUUUGCAUCGGCGCACAAGUGCGUGUCCAUUACAUUCGCUGGGGCACCCGCGUGUCCGUGCCCCCCAAUCCACGUCUGACUUCACACGACUUCUCCAGCUGCCUUCUGCAUCCAGCUGCCUUAUGGUCCCAUCAUUGCCCAUCCUCGUCCCUGCCUCUCACCCGCCGUCACGCCGUCACGCUGUCCAUUCUACAUUGGCCCUCUACUACUGCAUGUCACCGCCUGCUCCAGCUGCCGCCUGCUGCACCGCCGCCGCCUGCUCUAACGCCGCCGCCUGCUCCAUGAGGUCCUUGAUGUUCACGUGCGCCCCAAUGGCGUAGUCGGCAGCCAUCUUGGCGCAGAUCCCGGAAGAUAUGGGGCCCAGGCAGGUGCUGAGCACCUGCUCCUGGUCUGCUGCGCUGAUAUCCCAAACGUGGUCGAGCUGCAGCUGCCCUGCGCUGAUGCCGGCCCGUACCAGCUGCACCAGCUGGCCCCAGUAGUUGGGCCGGCGGAACGGAAAGGCCUCCCUGGCCACGCCCGGCGGCAGCAGCGCGUCCACGAUCAGCGGCAUAUAAAGUCACGAGUGCGACACAUUCGUUCCGUGCACGCGCAGCAGGAGCCGCGACCAGGUCGUGAAGUCAUACGGCGGAUCAUCCCAUGCGACUGCUGCGGCGUUGUAGCCAGGGAACAGCGUGCCGGAAGCCAGCGUGCCACUGUUGCCUGCAGUAGCGCCACGCCUCCGGCCCCGCCGGACAUGAGUGUUGCCCUGGCGACCCCCGCCCCCUGCCACUGCCUCCUGCAACAGGCGCAGCCGCGGCCACUGCAGCUGGAGCCAUGGCGGGAUCACCGGUGCGUGUGCGCCGCGCAGGCCGCUGGUCCGCACCGCCGUCCCCAGCAUCAGGCUCAUCACGCGGGCGCCUGUGGCCGGCCACCUGGGUCACUUGCCCGCCGCCGCGCCCACCGCCGUGCCCGCCGCCGCGCCCGCCUUGCCGCCCUCCGCCGCGCCCGCCUUGCCGCCCUCCGCCGCUCCCUCCGCCGCCGCGCCCGCCGCCGCGUGCCGCCCUCCCACGCGCCCCGGCAGCAGCUGCCAGUGCCGGCACCACCGCACCAGCCUGCUCAGCCGCGUCCGCAACAGCCGCCCCUGGGGCUUCGGCCUGUGCACUGAUUUGGCGCACGCGCGCGCGCUCCCAGGCAGCUGCCUCUGCCGCCGGUGGCAGUCGUGCCGCUGCUGGGUGCGUCUGGUAGAUGGAGAGCAGGAUGCUGGUCGCGGUGCGCGGAGCCGCUGCAGGCACCUCGGCAGUAGCCUCCACAGCCUCGCCACCCACAGCAACCGCCGCCGCUGCCGCCGCCAUCCCACCGCCACCGUCCACUGCCACAGCGACGCCGCCAUCGUGCGCACCCCUGCACCCCCUGCCGCCGCUGCCACCGUACCAACGCCCGCCGCGUUAUCAGCAGCACGAGCUUCGUCGGCGGCGGCGAUGGCGGCAGCAGUGGGCGCGACCGCCGCCUCCGCCUGCGCGUCUGCUGCGGCCUGCUCCUGCCGGAAGAGGGCAGACUUGGCGCGCAGCCGCUCGUACUCGGCACCGAUUUGUGCGCUGACCUUCUCCAGGCUGGUGCUGGUGAAGCUGGACAGUGCCACGCCUGCAAGCGAGCGCACGCGGCUGAGUGCGACGUAGGCCUGGCCGUCGUCGAAGACGGACUUGCCCAGGUUGAUGACGGCCUUCUGCAGCGACAGGCCCUGCGUCUUGUGGAUGGUAAGCGCCCAGCAGAGCGCCAGCGGCUGUAGAAGCGGCUGGUGGCCCUGGCAAUGGCCACAGGGGCGCUCGCUGGCUCUGGCUGCCGUCGCACCGCUGCCGCGCGCGCCCGCUCCAGGCGCCCCACGUCGGGGUCGUCAAACUGCACCAGCACCGCAGACACGGCCCCCUGGCUGAACUCGAAGCCCGUGACGCUGCCCUGCGCUCCGUUGACCAGCCCGUCCAGCGUGUGCACGUUGCGGCGCAGCAUGACGCGCGCGCCGACGGCAAGCUUGACAUGCGCACCCAGCCCUCCGCACAUGUCGGCUGAGGUGGGCACGUCGCCAGCUUGGAUGUCCUCACCCGGCUGCCCCGGCUCCGGCACUAGCUGGUCCUGAGCUGUGAUGUCGUACAGAAGAACGCCCGGGCUGCUCACGAGCUCACUCAGGCGAGCGUUGUUGUACGCCUCGACGUCUGCUGUGAGCGAGAGGAGAUGGGGGGGCGUUUGCAAAGUCGGCAUCCAGCGCCUUGCCGCCGCUGGACACAGAGGCCAGCAGUCGCUCCUUCACGAUGGCGCACGCGAGCUCCCACGCCCGCAGGUCCUCCGGGCUGCCGGUGCGCACGCCGAGCCGCAGCACGUUUAGGACAGCGGCCCACAGCGGGUCGCCUGCCUGCCGCUGGUUCUGCGUGAGCUCGAACAUGUGAAACAGCUCACAGAACAUGGCGGCGCCGUCGCGCGCGUCGGCGCAGGCCCUGCGCCCGCUGGAGCCCUGCCCGUCGAAGACGAAGGUGGCCUUCACCGGCGGCAGCUGCAAACAGAGGGCGCGGUGAUGGCGAGGGUGUCAGUGCUGGGAAGUUGCAGGCGGGGACGUUGCAGGUAGCAGAUUCGUCGUCCUCGCCCUCGCCGGGUCCUCCGCCACACAUUACUGGACAUGGCGGAGGGUGCCGCCCAGGCCCGCGCUCACCUGGUAGAAAUCACCCAGCACGAUGAGGUUGAUGCCGCCGAACGGCCAGUGCUCGGGCGUGCCCAUGAUCUCUACGAGGCGGCGGUGGAUGUGCCACAGCGUUGCAGCAGAGACCAUGGAGAUCUCGUCCACGAUCAGGUAGCGCACACAAGCCCAGAUCUGACGCAGCUCCUGGAGCCGGUUGGCGGACAGCGGCUCCCAGUGCACGCGCCUUGCCCCUGGGGGGAUGAGACAUGUGUAAGGGGUCGGCUGUGAUGAACAGGCGCAGGGGCUGGGGUUGCGCUAUGUGGAGCGAGGUGGCCCAGGGAGCAUCGGCGCAGCCCCGCCGCAUAGGACAGAAGUUGCGCACCUGACUCUCGGCAGUCCUCCACAGGCAGGCCCAGCGCGCGGUGGAUGGUGGAGCCGCGGAUGUUGAAGGCCGCCACGCCGGUCGGCGCGGUCAGGACGACCGGCUUACCCUCCAGGUGCGUCCGGCGCAGCAUCUCCGUGACCAGCUUGAUCAGGAAAGACUUGCCGGUGCCACCGCCGCCAGUCACGAACUCCAGCAGCUGACGAGGCGGGUCCUGCCCAGCGCGCGCCGCCUCCGCGGUUGCGUGCACGUGCCGGAACACUGCAGUGAACACCGCGCGCUGUUCAGGGCUCAACGCCUGCCGGCCGGCGUCGUAGGCCUCGCGCGUCAUGCGCGCGCCAGCCGCCAGCACAGGCAUGUCUCGCCCUGCAGCCGCAGCAGCCUGUGCGGCCACUGCGGCGCCGUCGUCGCCGCCACCAGCGCCGCCCUCCCUUUCGUCUCCCCCGUCCUCGCCACCGCCUCCGCCACCGCCGCCAUCAGCACCAUGGCCUCCGCCGCCGCCGCCGCCAUCGGCGUCGAGCUCCUGGUCAACAGCGGCUCGAACGUGUGCCGGCAGCAGCUCCGGGUCGUAAUACAGCGCCGUCGUGUCAUCCUGUGCUGCUGCCUCCCCCGCGUCGGGAUCCGCGUGGACCUGGUCUAGCACCAGGCCGCCAGCCUCCUCGUCCAACGCGCGCAGUCGCUCCACCUCCGCCUCUAGCGCGUCGGCGGCGGGGCCUGGGCGCACCGCAGACACGAACGCGGGGUUGCGCAUGGCGGCACGGAAGGCGUCCAGCGCGCUGCCAAAGCCUGCUGUCAACGCCGCCUCGCUCCGCCACGGCUUGUGCAGGAACAGCUGCGCCCAGUAGUGCUUGUCGCCGUGGCUGUCCGCGGUCGUGCGCGGGUAGCAGCGCAGGACCGCCGGCUUGAUGGGGCGGCGCUUGACGUAGAGCCGGAGUUGCUGGGGGCAGCUGCCAUCGAACGGGGCGCUGAGCAUGACCGAGUCCCUGGUCUGCGCGCGGCUGACGCUGAAGUCGGACAGGAACAUGAAGACGCUGACGUCCUCCCAGCUGGCAGGCAGUGCGCUGCCGGGCAUCACCUCUGGCCCAGUCUCCUGGUGGGCAUUGUGGGCGAGGAGCGCCUCAAUGCGUGCUGCACGCGAAGCCCCGGCAGCGGGCGGCGUUGGGCCGGCAGCUGCGGCGAUGUUGCCCGUGCCUCCGCUCGUGCCGCCGCCAACACCGGCAGCAGCAUCCGCGUGGGCAGCAGGCUGGUCCCGGGCAGCCGCCACCACCGCCUCCGCCUCCAUCUCCGCCGGCACUGCCGCCGCCGCCACCGCCUCCGCCGGUACAGCCGCCACUGCCGGUGCGCCCGCCUCCAUGGCGCCCGCGGCACCGGCAUCCGCCGCGACGGCGGCCCGCUGGUGGCAGUGGGGGCAGAACCAGUGGCCUUUCGGCGCCUCCUCCAGUGGGGGGGCCAGGCAGCGGCCGUGGUAGCCGUAGGCGCAGUUCGCGGUGGAGCACAGCAGCAUGAAGUUGGCGCCUGCGUCCGCGUCGGUGCUGUGGCACACCUCGCACGCGGUGUCCGCCUCCUCGUCGUGCGCUGCAGCAAGUGGUCUGCGCAGUGCCCGCGCGGCGCCAAGCGCGCCGGUCGAGCCCACAGGCCGCGCCGCGUAGUAGUCGUACUGGUUGGUGGCCAGCUGGACGGGGCGCUCGCCAUCGGCAGUGGCCGCGAAGGCGUUGCGUGCCGCGAUGCCGGGGCUGUCCUCCUUGGGCCUGGCGCACACCUUGACGGUGGAACGGCUGCUGCAUCGGAGGUUGAGCGUGGACCCGAUGAGCAGCCACGCCGCCUCCUGCAUGGAGUACUCGCGCUUGCUCAGCUGCGCAGUGCAGGCGCGGCGUAGGACUGUCGCGGUCGGUGCGUCCUCGGGCAUGCCCGCGACCGCCUCCUGCACCGUCUUCCGCGUGCCGUCGGUCUCCGCCUUGGUCAGGUAGGCAGUGACGUAGGCAGCGGCACCGGCGGCGUUGCCGACAUACUGCAGGUCCAUGUUGGCACCCCACAGGCACAGCAGCGCCGGCGAGUACGGGACGAUGCUGCCAUCACCAUGACCGCGGGCAAUGAUGUAGGUGUCGCCGCGCCGCAGCCUGCGGUCGCCGUCCUGCCGCAGCCGCGUGGCCUCGCAGGGGUCCUUGUCGUAGAGGAAGCGACAGGGGCCGUCCAAGCCGCCGCAGGUGAAGGUGUGGCGGUGCACCUGGUAGCGCUUCACCAGGUCGUGCAGCACGGGGUGGGUAGCUCGGUCGGGCAGCUUGGCGGACACGUAGCGGUCGAUGAAGGCAGGGGCGGCGGCCAUACCCUCAACGGUGUCUAUGUUGGGCGCGCCGCGCACCCACAGCAGCAUGUGGAUGUGGGGCGAGCCGCGCCGCUGCAGUUGUAUGUGUGUGUGUGUGUGUGGGGGGUGCACAUGAGUGCGCUGUGCCUAAAUUCAAUCGUAGGAACAGCAUGGCGUGUCUCUUGCACUGCGCUGCACUGCCAACUCAUGCGCACCAGGUCCCUGCUGCGGCUCUAAUCAGGCAAUAGUGUUGGUGCGGCACCCACCUGGAACUCCAACGCGCCAGAAGAAGUCCUGAACCUCGCCCAGGUAGUCAGGACACUCGAUCAUGGCCUUGAGCAGCGUCUCGAAGCGGUGGUUGAAGUGACGCGCCACGGUGACCUGGCAAGGCGGGGAUGGGCAGGAAGGUGGCGAGUGCGGUUUCACUCGAUUGAGUGGGGGCAGGUGGGGUUGAAGGACACGUGCUGGUGCCCGUGCUUUGACCCAGGCCGCGCAACCCGGGCGCCCCGCAUGCAACCUCUCUCACCUGGUUCUCGCGGAUGAGCUGGUACAUCUCGCUUCGGCUGACGCUGUCCAACAGCGCAUCUCGCCGCUGCUCCUCCGUUGCGCUGCCGUACGCCGCCUCGCUCAGCGCCUCACGAGCGCUAGCCUCUCGCUGUACCGAUGUUGCGUGGUUGUACGCAGCCUCGCCAAGCGCCUGCCGUGCGCUAGCCUCGCGCUGGGCCGCCGUUGCGCUUAGGAACGCCGCCUCGCCCAGCGCCUGCCGCGCACUGUCAUCCCGCUGCACUGGAGAUGCGUCCAUGAACGCGGCUGCGCCAAGCACCGCACGCGCGCUGGCUGCACGCUCGGGCGGCGUCGCUCGGUCGUACGCCGCUGCGCCCAGCGCCUCCUUGGCGCGACGUGCCCGCUCGCCGGGCGUGUGCAUGAGCGCGAGCACGAGGUCAUCCCAGCCCAGCUCGUUGGCGGAGAGCGUUAGGAACCAGGUGGGCGGGCCAUGGCGAAGAGGUCGGAGGCGGCGUCAGCCCAGUAGGCAGGGGUGCCUCGGAUGUUGCUGAGGAUGGCGCGGGCAGUGGCUUCGAUGUUGCCAAAGUCAUCAGCACCCGCCGCCGCCUCGUUCUCCUCCUCCUCCUCCUGCUGGCCAGGCGCCGCCCGAGUACAGGUUCCACCGCCCGGGCCUGCCGCCAGCCAGCAGAGCAGCGGCUGGCCUGGGCGGUGCUGCCUCACCAGCAGCGGCAGGGUCCGGUACAGCAGCGUCCUGGCGGCGGUGCUGUCGGUGAAGCGCAGCGACCUGCCGGCGGAGCGUGUUGAGCCUCGGGGCGCGCCCGUUCUGCUGGAUGCGCAGGCUGACGCUGAUCUGGUUGCGCAGCUGCAGGUACACGGAGAGGCUGACCGCCCAUGCCAGGUACACUGGCAGCUGGAAGCAGGGGUCGGCGUUCUGCACGCGGUUGGUGAAGUAGGCCGCGAUGCCGAUGGGCUGCUCCCGGUUGGUGCAGAAGUGGUUGGUGCCGUAGGGGUACAGGUUGGGGAAGGCGGCCGGCUCCAGGUCAGGGUGAGCAUGGAUGCUGAGCACUCCACCGGUGCGGGUGGUGAUGGUUGUGGCCAUGGUCCGCUCCUCCCGCGCCCGAGCGGCCCGCCCUGCCCGGGUUGUUGCGGUGUGGAGCGCGUCGCGCGGCAGCACCGGGUUGGCGUCCGCCAUCACAACGUCUACUGGCGGCAGCGGCGGCUCCGGGGCCACUGUGGCUCGCGCGUCUGCGCCGCCACCGCUGGCGUCCUCCUCACCAUCGCCCACAUUCCCAGCCGCAACUGCGCCGCGAUGGAGUGCAGCGCCGACGAUGGCGCCAGCAACCGCAGCGGCCGCGCCUUGUGCACCGGCGGUGGCAAUGAGCCGGUCCAGCCGCAUUGCGUUGGCCGGCUCAAGGCCCGCCGCUGCCGGAGCGUUGCCGCCGGCGCGCUGCUGCGCCACGCCGCCAGAUGUCCCUGGCACGGUGCCGGGAGAUGGCUCGAGGCCUGCCGGGCUGUCGUGGGGCACAGCGACCUGGUGGUUGUGAGCGCAGCCGCGGCUGCAGUCGGGCCGCGGCCCAAACAGCCUUAGCUCCGGCGGCAGCGCGCGGCCCGCGGCUUGCCGCGGCUCGUCGGCAUCGCUGUCGACGCCAUCGUCCUCAAGCCCGGGCAGCUCGGCGACGUCCGCGGGGACCGCCCGUGCCACGGGGGCGUCAGCCAGCCCGGCAGGUGCUGCUACCGCAUCCAAGCCAGCUCCAGACGCCAGCCGGCGCAAACGGCGGCGAGCUGGCGCCCUCAGAGCCCCACUGGGCUGCUCCACAGCUGGUGCCAGCGGUGAGUGUGCUGGUGCGAGUGCGCCAUUGCUCUCGCCAGCAUCCGCAUCCGCAUCUGCAUCACCAGCUGCCCUGUUGCCCGCGUCCUCAGCGGCCCGCCUACACGCCCGCAACGCCGCCACUCGCCCUCGCACAAGUCUCGGAGCUGCGGCGGCAGCUCCUGUACCGCCAGGCUGUUCGCCACGCAGGUUUUGGGCAUCUGACCGCGCUUGAGGGCUUCGAGGCAGGCACAGCACAGCUUAUAGCUUGUGCGCUGUGUGCCAUCGUCAGCUGCGGCCUGUCCGCCAGCACCCGCCGCCGCCGCCUGGCCGUGUGGCCCGUGGCGGCCACGGCCACGGCUGCGGCCACCAGUGCAGCCACCAGUGCGGCCGCGAAGGGCAGCCCGGCGCGGCCGCUGCUGCAUGGGCUCAGCUGCCGGUGGGGCCUCCUCCGCCUCCAGCUCCGCCUCCAACCCGACGCCGCCGCCCGCGUCAGCCUCGGCGCCAACAGGGUCAGCGUCCACCGCGCCGUCAGCUGCGUAAGCACCAACGCCGCGCUCCAGCUCGUCUAGCUCGUCCCGGUCACGGUCGGUGCCGAGGUCGCCGGCACCGCGCAGAAGCCGAAACAGCGUGGAGCAUGCGACCUGCAGUGGCAGGGGCGGGGGAGUGAGGUGAGAGCAUGCGGUAACCCACGAGCGUAGCAUGUAGCAUUUACGCGCAGCUGCAGUGUCUUGAAGUAAGGAUGAGGACAUGCUCCAACUGUCCAUGCACAACAUGGCUGAGUGCAUACAUGCCGCAUCCCCCACCAUGAGCACAGGGCCAACUUCACACCGCUUCCUAGUUGUGUAUGUAGCCAUUCCAGCUUUCAAGGACACCCGGCAGCGACCUGGUUGAGUAGCCCUGGCGUGCUCACCGGGUGCUCCGUGACCGUGACACCGGCCCUGUAGAAGCAGCGGUUGCAGCACUCGCAGACGUGGUCGCACGACUCCUCGAAUCUGCGCUUGAUGGCCGGACCCCGCUCCGUGCUGGCUGUGAAGCGCUGUCGUGCACGGCGCUGCCGGCGUGCGUCUGCUUCCCCCGCCCGCUGCUCCUCGUCCAUGCCCUCCCGCCGCGCCGCCUCAGCGGCGGCCCGCGCGUCCCGGCGCUCCUGCUGCUGCUGGGCGGGCAUCACUGCAACACGCGCCGCCUCUGCUGCGGCUUGCGCGGCGCGGUACUGCGCCCGCUGCUCCUCAUCCAUGCCCUCCCGCCGCUCCGCCUCUGCUGCGGCUUGCGCGGCGCGGUACUGCGCCCGCUGCUCCUCAUCCAUGCCCUCCCGCCGCUCCGCCUCUGCUGCGGCUUGCGCGGCGCGGUACUGCGCCCGCUGCUCCCCGUCCAUGCCCUCCCGCCGCUCUGCCUCUGCUGCGGCUUGCGCGGCGCGGUACUGCGCCCGCUGCUCCUCGUCCAUGCCCUCCCGCCGCUCCGCCUCUGCUGCGGCUUGCGCGGCGCGGUACUGCGCCCGCUGCUCCCCGUCCAUGCCCUCCCGCCGCUCUGCCUCUGCUGCGGCUUGCGCGGCGCGGUACUGCGCCUGCUGCUCCUCGUCCAUGCCCUCCCGCCGCUCUGCCUCUGCUGCGGCUUGCGCGGCGCGGUACUGCGCCCGCUGCUCCUCGUCCAUGCCCUCCCGCCGCUCCGCCUCUGCUGCGGCAUGUGCAGCCAGGUGCUGCCGUUGCUGCACUGCGUUCAUGCCUGCCUGCCGGCGGCGCCGCUGCACAGCAUCCCGUUCUCGCUCGUCCGUGCCCAAGCUGCGGCGGCGUUUGCGAGGUGGCUCCACAGCACCAGGAUCAGCCAGCGGGGCCGUGCCAGCCCUGCCAUGCGUGCGCCCGCGCCCCCGCCCGUGCCCCCUGCCCCUGCCCCGCCCACGCCCACGCUGCACUGGUGGCUCCAGUGGAAACGGUGGGAGCGCAAAGUCCUCGUCAGCUGCAUCUGGGGGCGUCGCAGUGAUGACUGCUGGUGCUAGCGCUCCUGUACAUAGGGGCAAAUUCCGCAACCGGCGACAUUGAACAUCAGACUUUGAAUUUAGCUGGUUUGGACCGCGGUGUCAACCCAUUAAUCUGAAAGCUCGCCCGACACCACAGUAGGGUCCGGGCACAGUCCUUGCUUGCCAACCCUACCUGCCGCCGAACCGCUUGCUGCAGCUGGCGCGGCUCCUACAGCAACGGGACGGGCAGCUCCGCUGACAGCGCCUGCCAACGCAAAGGCGAGGAGGCCAGCGCCCACCAGCUGCUGUGGGUCGGGGACGGCACCAUUGCCGCCUGGAAGGCAGAAGAGAGAAACGGCGGUGUAAGCGUGGGCGCCUCCUCCCAGGCCCCAUUCCUGGUACAUGGCACUCACCGUGGGGGUCGGCAUGGGCAGCCGGCUGAUGUGGGUCAGGGUUGGCAGGCGGUGCCGUCAUUACUGCAGGGUCAAGCGGUGAGAUUCAGUUAAGCUUAAGCGGUGCAAGCGCCCAGCCCAAACGCCCCAUACAUGCGCCAGCCUCAUACCUUGUGUCCCAGAGCACAGCCGCCGACGUAGCACGGGGUCGUUUGCAAGGCCGGCAGCAGCAGCUGCAGCGGGCGCCGCGUGAGUGCGAGCGCGCAGCAUGGACAGGGCGUUGUAGGUGGCCGAGAUGACCACCGCUGCCUCCAUGAGCGGGCCCGUGCUCCUCGCCGCUGCUCCCAGGGGCGGUGUCGGUGCCCGUGACACCCAGCCGCUCCACAAAUGGAGGGGGCGGCGGCGGCGGGCCCGCUGGUGGCGGCGGUGGCGGGCCUGCUGCAGGUCAGCGCAAGUCGGCGCAAGAGGGCGAGAAGUUUUGCGCGCGCUACCCACCUGCGCAAACUGGCGCGCACGCAUCCGCCGUCGGCGCAGCAGCUGCAUGUUGCUGAGCGUAUGGCCAGAAUGGAUUGAGCGCUGGGUCGUCGUGCACGAGCGCCGACAGACCGCGCCCUAAGCCCCGGCCGCCGCGACCGCGGACCCGGCCGCGAUUGCCACCCCGCGCAGGGCUGUUGGUCAUUACGGCAUUUUGGGGAAAUCUUUGUCAGAAAUAGCAGCGCUGCAGCAGGCUCUGUUUGGUGAAGGUGACUGGUGAAGGCAAAUGCGCGGCAUACCCUUGCCCGGGUUUCCCGCCGCUCUGCUCCCCCUGCAUGCGCCCAGAAUUGCACCCGCCCAUCCCGCCCAUCCCGCCCACCACUCUUCCCACUCUUUGCUUCCUGCGCGAAGCCCAAAUGGCCCCGACUGUGGUGCUCACCGUGCCGCUCACCAUGCUCCACGGGUGACUCCGGUCGCGUGGCUGACUCCUGGACGCGUUGACUCCACGCGGUGAACACCAGCUUCUUAAGCUUGUUGUUGACGUGUUGAGUGAUUGAUUUGGUUGCAUAAAGACUCGCGCCCACGGAGCAACACCAACCCUUGCACCGCGUUGUGGCCCUCAGCCUACAACGGCACCAUCCCUCGCUGCGCCCAUGGACCAUGCUCACAGCCCGCCCUGACGUCCGACCCAUGGGAUGCCAGUUGCCGGGCGACUUGCAGCGCAUCUAUGAGGCUUUGGGCCAUCUCCCGCCUGUGAGAGCGGUGAGGACGCCGCCACCAGCGCCAGGUGAUUGGUGCUGGGCAGCACCAUUGUGGGGCAAGCCGCUCCUUCCUGAGGGUGACCUCACCCGACGGCCUGGCCUUGAGGCGCACCAAACACGCCUCACGGCGUGUCGCCCCCUGCGCAUGUAGGUGACUUGGUGCAAGCACUGACAGCGGCGGCAGCAUGGCGCGCAACACGGCCAGUGGGAGCGACUGGGGGUGUGGCAUGGGAGGAAUGGGUGCGGCAGCACCUUGACCCGGAGACACAGCUACACGAGCAGCCGGCGCUCGAGGGCCUGAAGUAGCCUUGCAGCAGACAUACCAGAGGCCUGGCUGGCAGCAGCACGUGCAGUACAGGAACGGCUCCAGGCUGGGUUGGGCCCCGCCCCGCCCUUGGAGUCGGCAGUGGUUCGGCUGAUCAUGCCUUGCCUUGGCUGGAGGGUACCUGGCAUGCAGCAACCCCUGGUGCUGGAGAAACUGUCUGUACGUGUUGCUACCGUCAUGCAGCUGGGAGACAUCGGGGUAGCCCGCAGUCAAUUGCACACGGCUUAUGCAGCUGAGGCGCGCGAGACACCACCAGCAGCCGCCCCACAACGCUGGAUUCCCCCCUUCGACAGGCUUUGUUGGAUACGCUGGGAGAACGCCCACAAGGAGACAGCUUGGCGGGUGUCAAUCGACAGCAUUGGCAUUGCCGGUAACACGCAUCUCACACAUGCACCUGGUCUGGCGCCGUGUGGAUGCGGUGUGACGCCAACCGACAGCCCCAGGCUACACACGUUUUGGCAGUGCGCAGAAGCUCAGGCGGUUGUGCAGCAGCUCGCAGCGCAGCUUGCGGCCCCGCCCACCAGGGAGCAGGUGUGGUUGUUUGAGGCCCCGACUGGCGUGCAACAAGCAGUGUGGGAUGUGGUGGCUAUGGCGGCGUUAGCGGCCAUGGAGAGGAGGAGGUGCGUGCUGUACGCCGCAAGCCGCCGUGGCCUAGCCAACGCUGCUGCAAUAACCUCUAGAGGGCCAGUUGCCGCAGCAGCAGCAGACGCAGCAACAGCUGCAAAAACAGGCUUCAACACAGACGGACACCCAACAAGUGAUUGACACGGCAGUGAUCGACUUGUGGGGUUGCUUAAAAUCCUUCACAGCACUGGGAGUGCUGCGGAAGGGCUGGGAUCAAGUGGGCGCACAGAAUCCUUUCUUGAGCGUAGUAAACGGCCAGUUGCGCUGUCAUGCAGGUAUGAACACGGAACAACCCGCUCAGGCCAUCACGGACAGGGACAAGGACAAAGCACGGUUCGGCAGGUGCAAGGGGGUGGGCUAGAGAGGGUCAGGCUUCCUGUUUUUGUUUUAUGUUUGUGGUUGGGCUGGGGGGGUUCGCCAGGGCCAGCAAUGCAGGGUGUGGUUUCCGCCAGGGAGCGGCCCAGUCUGGUCCUUUUGAGGGGGCUUGGUAAGCUUGCUUUAUGCGCCCUAAGCACCUUGCAUUCCCUCUGUUGUGCCACGGGUGGCUUUUGUGGCGGGGCGGCCUGGUGUGUGUUUCUGGCCUUGGCGGGCGGUGUUUUCCUGGCAUGUGUUUUGGUCUGGUGUGUACGUGUGGUGUGGUGUGAAGGAGGCAGUUGUGUCUGCCCCUCUGAGGCUCCACCCUAGCGUGCUGGCUGCUGUGCUUUCUUUUGGUGGAGAAGGCAUGAGCCUUGUGUCUCCGUGUCUCUUUAGUCUUGACCAGGACUGGGGCCUUAUUGCCUGCUGUGUCGGGCGUGCUUAGGGGUGAGCGUGUGGAACGCGCUCACCCAACACUAGGGCUUGUCAGCCCUAGUCAUCAGUGGCUUCGCCACUACCAAGUGUAAUUAUUCUCCCUCUCCCUCCCUCCCCUCCCUCCCCUCCCACCUACCUGCUCGAGUAGGGGGAUUCGGCACUGUGCUCCAGCCUUAGUCGGCACUGCAUUGGAGCUGCCGCUCUUGGUCUGCUCUUCAGUUCGGAAUGUGAACUAUACGAUUGCUUGUAUGUAGGCGCAGGAUGACGAGCCAUCAGCGAGUAAAGUUCACCGUAAAGUUCAAAUGUAAGAGUUAAACUAGUUUUUGACAGCAGGAGUAGCUAAGACUUAUAAGAUCCAUAUAACGUCAACUUUUGCAUGUGCCCCCACAGUGCCCCAAAGCCCUGAAAGCUCGAUUGCCCCCGAUUGCCGAAAAACACUGCACCGCCUGUUUCCGGGGGUUUAUUCACUUUGAACUUGAACGCUGAUUACUUGAAAAGUCAGCUGUGGCUGUCGCUGUGCGCUCGCACUGCAUGGCCUUCAACAUCAUCAAUCCGCCUGAUUUCCUGAACUAAUCCUAUUGUAUUGCCUUAUACCUAUAUUUUGAAGCCGUCGGCGUCCUCAAAAACUGCCUAUAACAAAAAACGUUGUUUGCUCUCACCACCAGGGGC